ensembl:lncRNA
UAUUCUAAUAGGUCUUCUGGACGUAGCCAGAUAAAACGGUCAUCCUAAUGAAAUGCCAGUUUGAUUUGAUUUGGAUUUUCACCAAUAUUGCUACCUGCCAUGUUGAUUUCCCACAACUGUCGGCACCAGGCCGUGAAGCAAAUGCAACAAGUCUUCCCUCCCCCCGGCACAGCCUGACACGCUCUUCAUCAACGCAGAAGGCAGGUGGAACGGGAAACAGAAUCCUAUCUCGGCGGUCUUAUAGAAUUUCUAUUGUGAACUGUAGAGAUUCUUAAUUUAUUCACCCACGGAUCUAGACUACAUCUAUUUUUAUCGUAUGCAAAAAAACCUGAAUGCCAACAGUUAGUAUCCGCUUCACCAAGGAGUAGGCUACACAGAUAUCCACAGUCUUACUGUAGGGUAGGGUUUCCAUCAAGAUGUCCGCCCUUCUGGACCUCAAGAGCAGUGUGCUUAGGCAAGUGCAGAGAAGCCAAUCCUUGCGGGGACGUAGGGAGCCACCUUCCCCCACUGGUGGCCCCUUGACUAAGGCUUCUGACACUACUACUCAUGGAAUUACAGAGGGUAAGGAGUUCCUUAUGCGCAUGAAUGAAAUCCUCCUAAAACAAGAACAUAUGAUGGAUGCUGGACACACACAG